GAGGGUCGACUCUGCCGCCACGGCUCAGGCCACCUGUCUGUGCGUCACUGACGACUUCAUCUUCUGCGGCUGCUCCGAUGGGACGGUUCGAGCCUUCAGCCCCGCCAACCUGCACUUCCUGUGCACCCUGCCCCGCCCACACUGCCUUGGCGUUGAUGUCGCCAGUAUGGUGGAAGCCAGUCAGCUGUUCUCCUGCAGGCCGGAGUCUCGUUACCCGGACACCGUGGC